GAUGAACGCUAGCGACAGGCCUAACACAUGCAAGUCGAGGGGCAGCAUGGUAUCAGCUUGCUGAUACCGAUGGCGACCGGCGCACGGGUGAGUAACGCGUAUGUAAUCUGCCUGUAACAGAGGGAUAACCCGGAGAAAUCCGGCCUAAUACCUCAUAGCACAUAUUAUUCGCAUGAGUUUUAUGUUAAAGAGACUCGGUUACAGAUGAACAUGCGUUCCAUUAGCUGGUUGGCGGGGUAACGGCCCACCAAGGCAACGAUGGAUAGGGGUUCUGAGAGGAAGGUCCCCCACACUGGUACUGAGACACGGACCAGACUCCUACGGGAGGCAGCAGUGAGGAAUAUUGGUCAAUGGGCGAGAGCCUGAACCAGCCAAGUCGCGUGGAGGAAGACGGCCCUACGGGUUGUAAAACCUCCUUUUUAACCUGGGAAUAACGGGCGCUACGCGUAGCGCUGUGCAUGUACCGGGAGAAUAAGCAUCGGCUAA
rnacentral:rRNA from 1 species